GCCCUGCGAGGAAGUCGUACAGUUUGAGCUGAAGCUGAGUGCUACGAGUGAAAAAGUCGCACAGUGUCCGCCCAGCUUUAGACUCAUUCAUAGUGGCUCGCAACGGGGAAGGCUGUUGUUUUAGCAUCCAGAAUAAGCAGAAAAUGUCUCUGCUGGCAGAAGCUAAAGUUAGCAUUAGCAACUUAACCACACGGCAGAAGUUAGGCAUGUGCAGAUUGUGGAGAUGAAACACAGACGAUGCAGAGUAAGCAGAGUCAGGGGUAGAGCCGCGUUGCUGCUAUCCAAUCCGAGGCACAAUUUCCAAAUAUCAGGAAAUAAGACUCCAAAUCAUCCUGUGUUAAUCUCCUCUGAUGUGGCGCAGACUUGUCCAUGCUCUGUCUCGUUAGAUUGGUGCAACUAAAGUUUGUACUGAAUGAAACUUUACAUUAAACCAUGUUGAAAAGGUAAGAAAAGGAUGAGAUUAAGUAAUUUUUUCCCUCCUUUACAGUCACGGAGUACAGCGUAGUGCGCAUGGCUCUGGGGUUAAUCAAGUUUAAUUGUUUCUCUUUGCAACAAUCUUCACAAGAAGGCAAAACAGUUAAAUGGCAGGUUACAGAUAUUUCCAUUUGACUGUUUAUUUUGACGGCUAAACUCAAGAAUGUUGGUUGUUUUGAAAGAAUUACCCCGACGCAGACUGAUACAGAUCAUUACGCACAUCGCGGAGGUAACUAAAUCAAUCAAAAUAAGAUUCCCAUCAGAACAACAGAGCUUUAUACUGGACACUGUGCUCAGCGCAGCUCACAGCGCACACGGUGGACAGUGAGCUGAAGAUCUGUAGAGGGGUUCACAGCACAGCACAGAACCACAGUGCAUGUGGUAAGAUUUCCUCCCACUGAAGCGGUCUGGAAACCCUGUCUCUCUGAGGGAUGUGUCACUUGGAAAAAUGUUCGCUAUUAUGAAACUUUGGCUGAACAGCGCUUGUUUCCGUCUCCAAUAUGGAGACGCAUGACGCAUCCAGUCUGUCUGAGGCAGAAUAGCCUCCUCAGCUCAGAAAGCACCAGUAGAGACAUUUGAUCACGCACAAAGUUUAUGUUGAGCAGAAGCGGUCGGGCCACGGCAGGUGAAAUGUUCCUAGCCUACAUGAAGUGUAACUGUUUAAUUGUAACAUUAAUAUGUUACUGGACACGCUGGUCUGGUUGGUUAGACCAGUGUUUGAAGUGGAAAACACACACACACACACACACACACACCAAUUAAAAUAAUGCUGACAGCGUGGACUAGAAGCCAGGUGAUGGUUUAUGUAUUUGAAUGAUGAUCAUGCUGCUGUAAAAUGUAAUCUCCAUCCACAUCCAGACAGAAUUCUCCUCUAUUCUGUCUCUAUUUUCUCUGCUCUUGUCUGGGCUGACGUAGCUGAUGGUGCGGUACCCUUAUGAAAGAGUUCUACAUUGAGAGGUACAUUUAAGAAGUGCAGGUAGAGUUAGAAAAAUCUGCAGGGCCACAAACACAUUAGGGAAGAUGGACUGUAGACUAUUUUUUAGCCCGAAAACGAUCAUGGUUCUAUUUAUAUUGCAUUAUUCAUGUGGACUCUCCGGGGAUUAUUUAGAACUGAGAGGUGCAGAGCUCUGAUCGUUGACGUGCUCCAGACAGAUGCGUCCUGAGAACGGCCACAGUAACAUUCUCAAAGUGUCACCACCUCAAAAACAAAUUUAACAUGCGAUCAUUUAUAUCGGCUCAUAUCCUUUUAUGUUUUCUGUCUUUUGUUUGUGCCUGAUGUGUUUUGCUGCUGCAGAGCGCAUAACCAGUUUCGUCCUCCGGUGACUUCGCCUCACCGGUGCAGCCGGCGCGCUCUGCUAUAUUUACGGUAGGUAGAUCUUUUUUAACUGCAGUUCUAAAGGUAACUCAUAAGGUGAAUACAUAUGAAGGCAGGUGGCAGUUUUUCUUCAGGAUUGAGAGGAGAUGCCGGAAGAUAAACAGACAGGACAGAAAAAUAGUCAAAUAAAAACAAGUUCGUUUUUGUACCUGGUGGUUGCAACAAACAGACACCAUUGAAAGUAAUUAGAAGCGAGGAACAGAAAAUUAAAUGAUUCUUUCAACGUUUAGAUCAGCAGGAACUCUGAGAGGCUGCAGGCACAUCAGUGAGUUUGCGGCCACUGCGCAGGGGGAGGGGCGAGAGAGCUGAAGCAGGCAGUAAAGAUGCAAAAACUAUCGUUGUUAAAAGAAAUGUGUGUUAACUUAGAAGAUGUGGGCGCAAUUUUAAUUACUUGUCAACAUUUUUCUCCAAUGUUAAGACUGCUGCACAAAAAAAAAGACUGCUGCUUGCGUGGGCCCCCUUGUGGCUGUGGGCCCCUGGGCCUGUGCCCAGUUUGACAAUAUUAUAAUCCGGCUUUGGCUAAUGCUAGCACAAUAUGCUAGUAAAGUUAGCACCCAGAUUAAUGUGGAUUUGGCCGAUUUUCGUGGAAUAAAACGUGAUCUGGAAAUUCUGAUCAACGCCUUCUUUUUAGCCAGAUGAUAACUUUCCACUGAUUGUAGCAGCAGAGAGCCCGUGUGUUUUACUCCGUGAGUAUGAUGUGAUCUGAGCAUCCAGUAAAUAAAGUCCCAUGUCAGCAAAAAUGCAGUGUGACAAAGUCGUUAAAGUGCGUCAACACAGUGGAGUUUAAAGAACAAUCUCUGAGUGAAGUGAGGUUAGUUUUUUGUCCAACUGCAGAUAUAAAAACUAACUCUGCAUCAGUCAUAUACAGCGAAGCUCACUGACACUCAUCUGUAUGAGCGUGAGCGUCCGAAAGCUGAUAAAAUCACCUGUAAAAUAAUUAAAACACAAGUAAAAUGCUCCUUUGCUUUUUAGAGUCCACAUCCAGAAGGCUGGAGCCGUAUUUCACUGACAGGCUGUCAGACUAAAACCCUGAUGAGCUCAGCUGGGACAAACUCUGGUCUGAUGUUUAGGUAAGUGAAGAUCUGGUUCUCCAAGGCCUUGAGAUGCUAGUAAAAAAAUAAUUUAGCCAGCUUGCUAAUGUUACUUUUCUUCUCCUCUAAGGAACACAAAACACUCAGAUGUUGGAGCUUCACGUCACCUACUGAGGAA
ensembl:lncRNA